GAACGAAAACAAAAACAAGGAAACAACAAACAGCCACACACUAAGCACACACAAAUAAAUCAUGCUACUGUCGUUAGUCUUUUUUUUUUUUUUUUUUUUUUCUUU
rnacentral:ribozyme from 16 species